rnacentral:lncRNA from 1 species
GUCUUUCUGACAAUGAUGGAUGAUGAUGAGCAACCAAGUAUUCAAAUCCUUCUUGGAUCGAGAAAAAGUGAUAAAAUAAAGGAAGUGCAAAAGCAUGCUUUGUUUCUAUUCAAUAAAGUGAGAAUCGUGUAUAGAGAAUGUUGACGAAGUUCUUUACAAAGACUCCAACCUCCCUCUUGAUCUACAUCUCUUUCUAUUUAUAAGAGCACCUGUACCACAAAAUUCUAGAUGGUACAACAUAAAGGAAUAUCCAUUAAAAUAUUCCCUAGGAAAUCUAAAUCCUGAAAUUGGUCUUCACUUUGUGCCGAAAACAGAUGCUCGUCCUCAUCCUUGCCUUCUGUUAAGCCGUUUCGAUCUCGGCAAC